rnacentral:lncRNA from 1 species
AAUCUCACACGCUGGGGAGCCGCGGAACCCAUGCGCCGCGCCUGCUGAACCCGCGCGCCCCAGAGCCGGGCUCCGCAAGAGGGGCAGCCUGCGGUGAAGGAUAGCCCCGCUUUGGGGCAGCUUGAGAAAAGUCCUCGCAGCAACCAAGACCCAGCCCAGCCAAAAAUAAGUAACUAAAAAACAAGAGAUUUACUUCUUGGUGAAAAUGGGGAACGAGAUAAAACCAAUGAACUACACAGUCACCCCAUUACCAGGUAAAAUUAGGGCUCUGUGUGACAAACGGUAUUGUCAGCUCCUCUUUCUUGAGGACUAGGGGAGUUAGAUUUUUUUUCCUGUCUUUACAAUUUCCUAGUGGAUUGCCUGGAUGGACUGUAAUCCUUUAAUACUUACUUUAACAAUAAAAUUGAUUUUGAAAAAAAAAAGAAAAAAAAUUAAAAAAAAAUAAAUUGAUUUUGUCUCUUUAUUACCUUAUGGAAAAGAUUUCUCGAUAGGGAGAAAUUUUUGUUUUCAUUUCCCUAACAGUCAUCAUCACGCACCUCUCCACAGGGAUCAAACCUCAUCACCCAUCUCAUCAGCAACUAGUGUACAGGAUAUACCGGGGAAGGGUGGUCAGUUCAACAGUAUCAGAGACACAUCAGAAUAUGCCGAAUUCAGAUGAACUAAUGGCAACAAACUGUACGAAACGAGAAUUUUACAAGGUUGAUAGACAUCACUGUAUUUCAUCAAAUCCAAGAUUUCAUCCCAUUUUCAGAAGAAUCAUGAUUAUAUGUACCACUGGAAAAAACACACAGCCAACUAAAUCAUGUUACACAUCCAAUUAAAAACACCCUGAUUUCAGAGAUGUGAAAACAAACGUGUGUCUUAAAAUUGACGAGAUGUGCUGUAUAAAACUGGGUUGGCUGGAAUGGUCAGGAGUCAGCGUUCAGGCGAGCAAAAGUGUGUUCCCACAGGGCUUCCACACCACGUCUGACACUCGUCAUUGAACCGUCUGCUCUCUGUGCGCCUGUUUCGCAGGCCGACUCCCUCCAAGGUGCUGGCUGCUGCAGCGUUGAGUCCAUUUGUCUCAGCCAGAAAUCUGAAGGUCAUACGGGUCGCCUUCCCUCCUAUAGCUGACCCCUGGUCCUUGAUUCUGCCUCUUCAGUUCCAGCAACUGCCUCUUCCAAAUGGCUGAGAGUGACAACAAUCGCACCGGAGCAGGCCUCCGCCAUCUGUCACAGGCGUGUCCCGGGAGCCUCCGGACGGGGCCCCGUGUCCAGACUGCACCCUUCCACUUGAUUCUCUCCAGGACAGCCAGGGGAAACAUGUUACUGCCUGGUGGGUGCCCGAUU